rnacentral:rRNA from 1 species
UUAGGAAUUUUGGGCAAUGGCCGCAAGGCUGACCCAGCAACGCCGCGUGGGGGACGAAGGCUCUCGGGUCGUAAACCCCUUUUCCCAGGGACGAUGAUGACGGUACCUGGGGAAUAAGCCCCGGCUAACUACGUGCCAGCAGCCGCGGUAAUACGUAGGGGGCGAGCGUUGUCCGGAUUCAUUGGGCGUAAAGCGCGCGUAGGCGGCUUCGUAAGUCGGCCGUGAAAUCUCCAGGCUUAACCUGGAGGGGUCGGGCGAGACUGCGGAGCUCGAGGUGGGCAGAGGGCAGUGGAAUUCCGGGUGUAGUGGUGGAAUGCGUAGAGAUCCGGAGGAACACCAGUGGCGAAGGCGGCUGCCUGGGCCUGGCCUGACGCUGAGGCGCGAAAGCGUGGGGAGCGAUCCG